ACCACAAGCCCAGGAAUUUUAAAAAGCUUCCCACAUGAUCUCCGUACUCACAUGCUUAUAUGGAAAGUACAAAAAGAACAUAUGGACGAGUGAGAAAUAUACUAGAGAAAACAAUCUCAACAGAACUGAAAAAUAUCUUUUAAAACAGACUUAACAAGAAUAUGUUUCUCCCCUUGGAAAAGGAAGAUAAAAUUCAUAGUGGAUAAGAAUACAAAUACUGAAUAUAUUUAAUGUAUUUUAGUUUGACCAAAGAUAGGUUUAUAAUGGUCAGCCAGAAGUAGCUGAAAGAAUGCUGAGAUUUAUUGAGCUUCUCUUCUAAAGAGAGAUAAAGCAACUAAAUUGAUAGUAAUUGGAUCUCGUGCUCCUCUGAAUGCCACUCAGCAGAAAAAGCUCAGACCCCUGAAAUGGCUUCGAGGUGAGUGACCAGCGAGGAGUCAGCCCACUUUGACAGACAUGGGCUGCACAGGAGCAUUCUGAGUCCUGAAGCUGGCCGCGCAUCGAGAUCACGAUCGAGACAGGAGUGUCCAGAUGACCAAGUUCACGCCUAUUUUUAUAUAGAACACUUGCAAUUAAGGGAGACAAAGACGCCACACAGAACCAUCUGAAUGUCUCUGGAACCACCGGCAUAGAAAACGUUAACUUUCACUGGCCAUUAAUCCAAAGACAGAUAAAUAACUCUACGGUGUGUUGUCAUCUGAAGGAUAACUUGGUUAUGUUCCUGGCAUUCCGACUAUCUUGAAGAACGGAGGAGGAACUGAAAGGAGGAAGGGAGAAGAAGAAAGUGAGGGCACACACACUAGGUUAACGGCAAGGCCAAGAAUUGAACACGAAUAUAUUCUCAUCAUGAAACCCAGAUUCCAAUGGCCAGUAACACCAACUUCAUAAGCAGAGAGUUUUCUCAAGGUGGUAGUGGAAGAGGACGUCAGAGACACUGCAAGUAUGAGGACGGUCUGACGACCUGCUGCUGACUUGAAGACAGAGAGGCUACGUGAAGAGAAAUGUGGGCAACCUUAAGAAGGAACGUAAGACAGCCCAGAAACAAGGACUGUGGUGCUACAACCGUGGACCUGGGUGGAAUGACGGUCCCCAAAGCGACACGUCUAAGCCCUAAACCCCAGGACCUGUGAAUGUGACCUUACUUGAAAAAACGGUCUUUGAGAAUGUAAUUAAGGAUCUUGAAAUAAGAUCAUCCUGAAUUCAGGGAAUGACAGAUGUCUUUUGAAGACAAAGGCAGAGGCAAAUUUGAGACAGACACACAGGAGAGAAGGCCAUCUGAAGACAGAGGCAGAGAUGUGAGUGACAGUGCCAUAAACCAAGGAUUGCGGGCCGCCAUCAGAGGCUAGGAGAAAGGCAUGGAUUCCACCUCACAGUCUCCAUAAGGAACCGACCCUGCUGAGCCUUGAUUUCAUUCUCCUGGCCUCUUGAACCGUGAAAGAAUGAAUUUGCUGUUUUAAGCCAGUCUUUGUGUGGUCAUUUGUUACAGCAGCCCUAAGAAACUAAUACAAACUGCAAGAAACCAUUCUGCCAGCAACCUGAAUGAGCCCAGCAGCAGAUUUUGCCCAGACUAUCCUAUCAGAUGGACACCUGAUUUCAGCAGCGUAAGAUCCUGAGCAAAGAAACACGUCACACUGCGUCAGGUUUCCGAGCUACAGAGCGUGACCUAACAAACAGAUGACUUAAGCUACUCAAUUCACGUUAAUUUGUUAUGUGUCACUAGAAAACGAACAGAAUAUAGAGUUUAAUUUUCUUGUAUUACAUUAAUUAAAACUUAUAAUCCAAAGUUAAA